rnacentral:rRNA from 1 species
AUGGCUGUGGAGUUGAAAAAUGCCGCCGAACGGUAUGAGCUCCUUAAAAAGGAGGAUCAGGUUAAUUCGACUGACCUGAACAAGGCGCUUAAUGCAGCCAAGGAGAUGCGGACCAAAAUCAGGGAUGUGCGGGAGGAGCUUCGACAGGCCGGAAAAAUCGUGACUGGGAGCCCCUACUUAUUGCGGAUGAAGUUUUUGGAUCCGAAGUAUGCUCCCCUGGUCGACGCUGGAGUCCUACAGACGCGUAUGCAGACUUGGCGAAGAGUACAGCUGAUGCGGCCAAGUUUUUCGAGGAUCAAGGUGAUAAAGAAGUGGAGAAGCUGUUCUGGUCUCAAUUUAAUGCUCCCGCGCGGCAAUUGCCGUUAA